rnacentral:tRNA from 1 species
GGAGAGGUGGCCGAGUGGUUGAAGGCGCACGCUUGGAAAGCGUGUGUAGGCUUAUACCCUACCGAGGGUUCGAAUCCCUCCCUCUCCGCCA